rnacentral:lncRNA from 1 species
GUUGCUGUUUGCGGUGGUCUAGGGAGGAAGAAGUUGACACACUUGGUAACGGCUGCUGUCAGCCUUACACAUCCCGGGACUCACACGGUGCUUUGGAGAAGAGGUUGUUCACAACAGGUAUCCAGCAAUGAGGACCUGCCCAUUUCAAUGGAAAAUCCUUAUAAAGAACCUCUUAAGAAAUGUAUCUUGUGUGGAAAGCAUGUAGAUUAUAAGAAUGUACAGCUUUUGUCCCAGUUUGUUUCUCCAUUUACUGGAUGCAUUUAUGGAAGGCACAUUACAGGUCUUUGUGGGAAGAAACAGAAAGAAAUCACAAAAGCAAUUAAGAGAGCUCAAAUAAUGGGGUUUAUGCCAGUUACAUACAAGGAUCCUGCAUAUCUCAAGGACCCUAAAGUUUGUAACAUCAGAUAUCGGGAAUAAAUUCUAUCACGUUACCACUAAUAAACUUAUUUUACAACAUGGUCUCAAUACGUUGCCCAGGCUGGUCUCUAACUCCUAACUUCAAUCAAUCCUCCUGACUUGUCUUCCCUAAGUGCUGGGAUUACAGGUGUGAGCCACUGUGCCUGGUCUCACUUUUCCAAUUCUAAAGAAUGUGUCUGUGUAAGCCUUCCCCUCAACAACUUAGUGAAAGGUGAAAAAAAGGUUUGGAAAUAAAAGCAUCUGAUGUUUGAAAAA